GGGAGAGAGGGGCGGGCACUGGCUCCGGACCCGAAACUCCGCUCUCAGCAAAAAGCGGCUCCCGGGAACUGGAAGCCUGGCGAGCCAGCAAGUCGGAGGAAAGGGUGAAGAAGAGCAAACCUGCUCCCCGAACGACGCUUCCUUGGAAAUGAUAUGCAUGUACAAACACGUGCACACACAUGCGUGCACACCCAUAAGCAAACAUACAUACUUCCCAUUGGCCAGAACUUAAUCACAUGGGCACACCCAAGAGCAAAGAAGGCUGGGAAAUGUAGCCUGUGCCAAGUGACCACACACCCAGCUACAAACGGUCACCAGUUUCAAGAUUUGUACAUCCUGGUGUCACGGUGAAAAGCCUAUUGGUGGCAAGCACAUAAGGCACGUGGGAUGGCCAGGGGCCUCCAGCACAGGAAGGCCCCGAGUGAAAGCCUAGCAGAGGUAGGUGCCUGUGUGUCCUGGGACAUCCUACUGAGCAGGCAAACCACGGACACAUUCAGCUCCAAAAUAUUUCCAUAUGGUCCCGGUAUAGCAGUUGAAUUGGUUUGACUCAUGCAUUCUUUAAAUAGCAAGUACAAAUAACCUGGAUGAUUCUUAAUGUUCCAUUUAUUCCUCUAUCCGUUUAUUGUUCUGUGAUUUAUAGCAUAGCUCCUGAGUGUCAUGUGCAUGACAUAAUAGGGGAAAGGAAAAAAAAAAAAACCUGCAACUUCAGAAUCUAAGGACUAAGCUAAAAUUUUAGAAUGCUGAGUGAAUCAAAAGGUGUGCAUCAUUGGUGAAAAUAAUAAGAAGAGUUUUUUUUUCUUUUUCUUUUCUUUCUUUAAAUCCACUUAUUCUGUC
rnacentral:lncRNA from 1 species